rnacentral:lncRNA from 1 species
CUGUCAUCUAAAAAAAAGUCAAGGAAGCUGGUCUAAAACAUAGCUGGUAUGACCUUCACUUUCUUUACACAUUUCUUAGCUGAUUUGCAUGAGACUGCAGCUAUAGAAGUCUAGAUAUCCUUUCGCAAAAAAGACAGUUGCAUUUGUUUGUUUUGUUUUGUUUUUGUUGUUUUUUUUUUUGAGAUGGAGUGUUGCUCUUGUUGCCUAGGCUGGAGGGCAGUGACGCGAUCUCGGCUUACUGCAACCUUCCCUCCCAGGUUCAAGUGAUUCUCCUGCCUCAGCCUCCUAAGUAGCUGAAAUUACAGGCGCC